CUACGGGACGCACCAGUGGGGAAUAUUGGACAAUGGGGGAAACCCUGAUCCAGCAAUGCCGCGUGUGUGAAGAAGGCCUGCGGGUUGUAAAGCACUUUCGGUUGGGAGGACUGCUUCUAGCACUAAUAUUGUUGGAAGUUGACGUUACCUUCAGAAGAAGCACCGGCUAACUCCGUGCCAGCAGCCGCGGUAGAUGACGGAGGGUGCGAGCGUUAAUCGGAAUUACUGGGCGUAAAGCGCGCGUAGGCGGCUAGAUCAGUCGGGUGUGAAAGCCCCGGGCUUAACCUGGGAACUGCAUCCGAGACUGUCUAGCUUGAGUACAGGAGAGGAGAGUGGAAUUCCACAUGUAGCGGUGAAAUGCGUAGAUAUGUGGAGGAACACCAAUGGCGAAGGCAGCUCUCUGGCCUGAUACUGACGCUGAGGUGCGAAAGCGUGGGGAGCAAACAGGAUUAGAUACCCGCGUAGUC
rnacentral:rRNA from 1 species